rnacentral:lncRNA from 1 species
AUGCGGGUAAAACCCCCUCCCGGAUGGGUCCCUCCUGAAUCGAGAGGUGAGGACCCGGUUCGCAGGUUCUCCGUGAGCAAGGACCACCCAUCACCGCCUCCCCCUCCCCCUCCCCGCCCUGGUGUGACCACUUUUGAUCCCGCCCCAGACAAAGGCAAUAUGUACUCCAGCAGAACGAAUAAGGGGAUCAGGUUGCUCUCUCGGCCUCCCCUCACUGCCCCCCUCCUAGAUUCUCCCCUUCCCCACGUGACUCUCUGGAAUCUCUGCCAAAGCUCCGAGUCCCUGGGUCCAUUUUCACACCGAGCAAAGGAGAGAGGAAGGAGGGGAGGGAGACGGAGGGAGGCGGAGCGUGUGUCCUUUAAACGCUGGGAUCCAGAGGGGGCCUUAUUUUGUGCGUAUGCAGGCUCUCUAGUCCGAGUGGCAGCAUUGACUUCGGGAUCCCUUCCAGCCUCCCUAGCUCUUUCCUCCGUGCAUUUAAAAUUAUGGCGCCUCCUGCACUCCCGUAAUCACACCUCAACCCUGCACACCAGCGCCGGGUGUACAGCGCCGAGGUGGCAGUCCGCGUGGAGCAAGCCGCGCCCCCACAGCCCUCCUCACCCUGGAGAGCGGCGGAGGCGAGAAAGUAGCAGCAGCGCCCCCCGAGGCGCCGCCCCCGUUCUUUUCGAGGAAGCUUUCGAACCGGCUGCUGCAGGGAGCGCGGCCAGAGGCGGCGCCGUGCGGCUGCAGCGCCGCCGAGUCCGGGAGCUGCCCGCAGCGCGGCACAAAGUUUCCAGAGAGCGGCCACCGGGGGCUGAGGUCCGCGGAGCCGGGUGGCCCGGCCUAGGGGUGGGUGGGUCUUUCUGGGCUCCCGGCGACCCCCUCUGCCUACGCAGCGCCGACGUAGAGUGUCAAGCGAACUUUAAAAAGCUGCUCCGGACCAACCUGCGCCGGGAUCUCCACGGCCGGGGACCCAGGAGCGGACGCAUCGGGUCUGAGAGAAAUGCUGGGAGGUCCGAUGAGCCUGUGACGGGAACUUUCCGGCGAGUCUACAGUGGAGAACUGCGCUCUGCCUCCUCUUUUAUUCUCCAAGCUCAGCCCACGUUGGCGUGCUGCUCCGCGGGAGACCUGAGCGCGCUCUCCGUCCGGGCAGUGGGUGAAUUGAAUCCCCCGCGCGGCCCGGCGCCUCCGGGCUGCUGA